AGGUGAAGGAGGAAGAGCGAGAGUGGAGGCCAAGCCGGCUCUAGGCGGCUGAAUCCGGGCCGUCGGUACCCCUUUCUUUCUUCUGCACCACUCUAGGGGGUCAGGCGGGUCUGGUGCCAGAAGGAAAAAAAACAUGGCAACAGUUCUAGGGAAGUCCAUGAGCAAUGGCCUGACUUCCCCAGUACUGGAGACUCAGGGUCUUCAGAAGAAAGAUUCAGCACAAGGUUGUCAGCUGUGAGAUAGAUUCGGUUCUGUGACGUGGCGAUCUACAGGAUACGGAAUAGAUGCGUUAACAGAGGCUUCAAGUCUUUGAUUCAAUGGCCACCCAGUGUAAGACACAGUAACAGAACAGGCUCCCACUCUAGUACAAAGACCCAAUGGAAGAAACCUUGGCGUCAUAGCUCUGUAACAGCCAUAAACAAAACCUGGGGAGCACUGUGGGGUCACUCUGCAGGAGGAAGGGUGCCCAAGGACAUUGUUUAGGUAGAGACUCAAGCCAGUUCUAAUGCCACUGUGUGACUGAAUACUUUCAACCUCAAGCAGCAGCGCUUGGAUGGUGAACCCUUCCACUCACCGUCUUAGAGAUGUUCUGGGCGGCCCGGAUCUUUCGGAGCUUGAUAUAGCCAGGAUUCUUGCUCAGUGCCUCUCCAAGGUGAGCAGA
rnacentral:lncRNA from 1 species